rnacentral:misc_RNA from 1 species
GAUGAAGAACGUAGCGAAAUGCGAUAAGUAAUGUGAAUUGCAGAAUUCAGUGAAUCAUCGAAUCUUUGAACGCACAUUGCGCCCGUUAGUAUUCUGGCGGGCAUGCCUGUCCGAGCGUCAUUUCAACCCUCAAGCCCCCGGGCUUGGUGUUGGGGAUCGGCGAGCCUCCGCGCCCGCCGUCCCCUAAAUCUAGUGGCGGUCUCGCUGUAGCUUCCUCUGCGUAGUAGCACACCUCGCACUGGGAAACAGCGCGGCCACGCCGUUAAACCCCCAACUUCUGAACGUUUGACCUCGGAUCAGGUAGGAAUACCCGCUGAACUUAAGCAUAUCAAUAAGCGGAGGA